UGUUAGAAGAUGGUCUUUUCUGACGAGUGGGUUCAUAUUUUCUGUAUCUUAAUUUUAUGUGAAUAUGUUGAGUAUUUUGUUUUCGUAGGUGAGGGACUUUCUUAUUGUCGAGCCAAUUGUGUGUGCGCUCCCAAAUGUGUUUUGUCCAGAUAAGGUUACAACUGGGAGUGGUUUCUUUCCCAUACUGCAGCCAAGUUUGGGAAAAACAAGUUAAGCGGAAACACUACUGCUUUUGUCCACAGAGGCGCCAAAACCGACCAAAAUUUAAAGUUCCUUGUAGGAGCUUUAAGGGAUAGGGGUUAGGGUUACGGUUAUUUGAUCACACAUGUAUCACAUUUCAUCUCUCUUAUCUUUUACUUUGACAUAAAUUUGGUGUGGAUAUAAAAGUUUUCAUCUUAUUGUUGCCUCAUCAAGAGUCUGAAGUGUCACCUGCAGGACGAGGGACGGCACAGAGAAGAUCAUGGCUUCGUUGAAGAUGGGGUUUGUGUCGUCCCUUUUGGUGGACGUCUUCUUCUUGCUGAUCUUCUUGCCGUCUUGCAGGAGAUAAACUUUGACGAACGGGUCUGACAAUGAGAAUGAGUGAAGGCUCUUGCACUUGGCCACAACCACAGUGAGGCGCUCUGCUGUGGGCAAAUAGCUGAGAGACAAGAGGAUCUCGCCAACUGCAUCUACAGCCUGUGGAGUCAAAGCAGAACAUGGCAACACAUGUCAUAUAACACAGGAUGAGAGACAUGUGUUGGCAGGGGCCUGACCAAUCGGAGUUCAGUGCUUUUUGGUGGAAUACUGCUAACAUAUCUUCAGAUGAACUAUUUAAACUAAACAUCAUAAUUUAAAAUGUAACAUGAGGCCGACAUAUGUAAUAUUUAAAACCUUUUAAACAUGUUUGAUUCCAUUUUAAUAUCAAAUUGAUAAUCAAUCACUGUUAGAGAAAAUACGGAUAUUAAAAUAAUAAUUGCUACAUUUAAGGACCUUUUAUUGUUUUACUGUGCAUUAGUUAAUGUAAAUCAACAAAGUUACAGCCUUUUAAAUAUGCUCCAUCCAUUCAGUUGAUUAGAAUUAAUAAUGGUAAAAGCCAAUAACUAUUCCAGAGGCAAACUCUAGUCCCUGUACUGGUCAAUAUUAUUGAUAUCUAAAUUUGAGGUUUAGUUAAUUUGUUAAACUUGCUAAACUUACAUAUAUAUUUUUUUAAAUAACUCAGUAUUGUCACCAUGGUAACCUCAAAUCGUAUAUACCUGCCGCACUGAAUCUGAGUCAAGCCAAACGAAAACAUGUGUUUCAAUGAAAUAAUCUUUACGAUAUAAAUGACGUCAUCACCAAUCACAUCAGUUCUGCAUUAUAUUGUGCAGGUAGAGCCACGCGUUGAAGGGUCUGAUGGUCAGGUCCAAAUCUGACAGCUUGAGAUCUGCCACUCCUGCGCUUGUGUUCCUCUCUUCAGCGUCGAUGCCGAACGCGGAGAAUAGCAGGCUGUACUCCUCCAAAUUGGACGAUUCCAUGGGGAUGGAGAAGCGCUCUACAAAAAUCACGGUGAAUGCAUUGGUCUGGACCUGUGGGAGGCAGAGGGUUGAAGGUGAUAUGUUGGUAAACGCAGAGGAACCAAAACCACAAGCACAAAAUGUCGUGCUUUCGAGAUGAAUCAAACAAGUUUCAAAGAAAAGAUGUGGUGUAGGCUGUAACAUAUGUUCCUCUCCUCAUCCUCUCCUUGACUCACUCAGAACCACAGAAGGACAAUACACUUUCUAUUUAUGACAGGAUAACUCACUCAACUGUGGAGAAACCUCUGGUUCAAGCAGGCUGAAUGAAUCCAUCACCAAGGUCUCACAUACAGACGACCCCAAACAAAGCAGGUCUGCAGGAAGUUUUUAAAGACAACUUAAAAAAAAGAAAUAGUCAUUUGGAAGAAGAGGAUGCUUGGAUAUCUAUGUUGUAGCCCAGACUCAGGGUAGUAGUAGACAGUUUAAUACAUGUAACAGAAUAAAAAGAGGAGGAGAAGACGCUGCCAUGAAACCAAAUGUACGAUUAAAUGUGUACUGUAUCAUCUUUAACUACAUUUGUUGAAGGAUCAAUUUACCAAAACAACAACAAAGUAUGCUAUCUCACCUAACUCCAUGUGGCUCGAGGUGUUAAAACAUCAGUUUUAACACCGUUUUUUUUAAUUCCAAACAGUGAAGGUGAACUUUCUUAUUUUUUGGUUCUGACCUACUCUCUCCUGAAGAAAUAGUUCCUACAACACUCUUGGCAGUGUGUGCUAUGGUCGGUCAUUGUCAGGCUUAAUGCCAAACUGUCUUCGUAGCUUCUUCUGUGAAAUGACAGCAAAGCGUUGACCGGGAAUCACUGACUAAAUGGCAACCCACAUCAAAACCAAGCAGAAUCACGUCACAAGUCACUGUUGCUGUUUUUACUAUGAAAAAACCCAGUCUGACGGCAGUUUGACCAGCAGAGCACACCAUGACUCCCACAGAUACCAGUGAGAGACUCAGUCAUUCAGCCACAGUGACCAACACCAGCUUAGUGUCUGGUGCUGAGUUCAACUUCAGAUGCUGAAGCCCACGUGGAAACAGGGUGGUUUUCAAAGCGGUGGGAAGUUACCAGGCAACUAGUACAUGCGUAGAGGGGAGUGGGUUUAAUAAUAGCAUUUUUUUUUCUCACACCAGUGUUUAUUCUUGAAAUGUGAAAUACGAGGAGGAAUCUCUCUGAUAAUUUACACAAGAGCAAAAGCUGCUGCGAUGUAAAGUCACCAGAAGAUGUUAUGAAUAGGAAAAUAAUAUCUGCCUGAAUCGAAUGAGUCGUGAAUUCAGAGUACAGCAUCCACAAAUCAGCCUGUGUGAGGCCGACCUUGGUCUACACCUCACAUAAAACAUGGGAAUAUCAUCAUAAUCAUACAUCCAACACCUACAGCAUCCAGUAUACGGCCCUGCUGCUGCUGCUGUGCAAAGACAGAAUGUACAUGAGGAUAUAAAGCAUCCAAAGAGGUAUCUCUCUCUCCUUCCAUAACAUGAGACUGUCUGUCUUCAGUAUUCUCCUUAUCGCCUUUGGGAUAACAAUGGUGAUGUGUGUGGGGAAAAUCAAGCAAUGAAAAUAGAGAGGAAGAGAGAGAGGAAGAGAGGAUGGCACGUGUGUGAAGAUGGGACCGUGAUUUCAACAGGAGACAGCGAUAGAGAGAAUGAAGACUGGCAUGAGCAUUAUUACAGGCAAAACAAAAUCAAGAAGCAGUGACAGCAAAUAAAUGAGAUGGAAGAAAAGGGGAUGAGGGUGAAAAUAAGAAAGGAAAGGUGAGUGAAAGGAAAAAAACAAGGAGCUGGGGAUGAAAGUGAGUGAGAGACAGAGAGCAAAAGAAAACAAAGGCAGAAAAAAUCUGGCUUGACCAGCAGGGCGAGUGGAGCUGAUGUAAGCAUUUCCUUUGGUCGUCAACAUUAAAGAGAGAGCCAGUGAAUCUGAUGCAUGAGAGGCUGCUUCCCUUUCUUAUUACACCCAGUGUUAACAUCAACAUGCUCAGGUGAUCGGAGCCCCGAUGAGUGUGUGUGUGUGUGUGUCCCUGUCAGCCUGCACAAGCUUUACAAAGCGACAGGCACACACACGAGGAGCCGUCCACUCACAGCACAGCCAGGCAGGAAUCAGAAAAAGCUCUGGCAGCGUGGAGCCCAGAGCAGAAGGCCAGUGGCGGGUGGAGCAGAUGGAGGAGUGACGCUCUGUUCUUUUCCUCAGAGUCACUCCACCAUACAGAAAAGCACUUCAGUAGAAAAUGUAACAAUUAAGAUAAUAUCUUUCAUAUAUUUUAAAACUUUUAAAGAUAUGCAUGACUAAAAAAGGAAAAACAUGAAAAAAAUGAAUGUAAAUUUUCAAUUUAAAUAAUUUUUUUAUUGUUAAAGUUAUGAGAUUUAGUUUUAAAGUUUUGAGUUGAUUGGUAAAUCAUUACGUAAUAAUUAGAAUAAUUAGAAUAUGGAUAAAUACAAAUUAAUAUAUUAGCUUAAAAAAUAUGCUCUUUAAUACCAAAUUAAAAGAACAAAUGUAAAUAAAAUAAAAUAUAAUUAAAAUAUUAUUCUUAACUUGUUUGUUUAAAAAAUAUAGAUUCAGACAAAGACUAAGAAAUAUGAACUGAGUAUUUGUAUUUUGAUUAUGUUCAUCUUUUAUCUUAUUUUAUCUGUUUUCUGGUAAAAACAUAUGU